rnacentral:rRNA from 1 species
CCAUAUAGACUGGGAGUAACAGAGGGAAACGUUACUGAUAAUACUGGAUAAGUUAGAAGUAGCAUUACUAAGUAAUGAAAGGUAGCAAUACGCUAUAUGAGAGCUUUGCAUCCUAUUAGCUAGUUGGUGGGGUAAAAGCCUACCAAGGCGAUGAUAGGUAGCCGGCCUGAGAGGGUGGACGGCCACAAGGGGACUGAGAUACGGCCCUUACUCCUACGGGAGGCAGCAGUA